rnacentral:rRNA from 1 species
GACGAACGCUGGCGGCGUGCUUAACACAUGCAAGUCGAACGGAAAGGCCCUGCUUUUGUGGGGUGCUCGAGUGGCGAACGGGUGAGUAACACGUGAGUAACCUGCCCUUGACUUUGGGAUAACUUCAGGAAACUGGGGCUAAUACCGGAUAGGAGCUCCUGCUGCAUGGUGGGGGUUGGAAAGUUUCGGCGGUUGGGGAUGGACUCGCGGCUUAUCAGCUUGUUGGUGGGGUAGUGGCUUACCAAGGCUUUGACGGGUAGCCGGCCUGAGAGGGUGACCGGCGACAUUGGGACUGAGAGACGGCCCAGACUCCUACGGGAGGCAGCAGUGGGGAAUAUUGCACAAUGGGCGGAAGCCUGAUACAGCAACGCCGCGUGCGGGAUGACGGCCUUCGGGUUGUAAACCGCUUUCGCCUGUGACGAAGCGUGAGUGACGGUAAUGGGUAAAGAAGCACCGGCUAACUACGUG